rnacentral:lncRNA from 1 species
GUGACCAACUGGAAGGGGGACAAGAGCAUGGGGCUGGAUUGGAAGUGGCCACGAAGGUCACAUCUGGCCUGGUGUCCUCACCUCCUGACACAGGGGUCUGAGUAUCACCUGUGAUCCCUGCCAGCAUCCACGAGACAGGCAAGAGAAAGAGUGCUUUGUGAAGGCCCUGCAGCAGAAGACAGACACAGAAGUGGAGCUUCAAGAAGCUUGAUCCCAGGGCCACUGGAGUUUGAGGACCAGUGGAUGGAGAGCCAUGAUACUCCAGGACAGCUCUGUAUGAUCUUCUCACAUCCAGGAAAUGGAGCAAGAGGAAAGCCAAGCAGAAGGCAUUCAUUUCCAGCACCCUCAACACCUUUUCACAGGACCGGGUGUGAAAUACUCCAGCAGAAACUGGAACAUGGAACAGACCAGGACAAGGUCUCCUUUGAAGAUAAAUUCUAUAGGGGGAUCUCUGCGUGUGCAAAGCAAAUACUUCAUCUCAUCCCCAGUAAUCAUGGCUAUCAUCUGCUGCAUUUUCUUCCUUUACUUUUGUUUCCUUGCAAUGAAUAGCCCUUAAUUUCAUCUGGACUCUGGCUCAGCAAGAGUGAGCAUGUAGCCGGAUUCAGACAUGUGCUGAGACACAUCAAGAGCUGCUGGGAAAACAGGAAGAUUCUGAGAGUGUAAAUUUUUCUUGUUCUGAUAGGUCAU